AUGACUGAUGACCAGAUGAGAAGCUAUUUUCCUUCAUAUGGAGACAGACUCGCAGUGAUGGGGUUUUGCAGGAGGCAAGAAAGUGAGCCAACUUGCAGGAAGUCAAAGCUGUUUGAGCGCCUCAAAUCAAAAUUGAGCAAAAGACAAAAAACUGACAGUUCACAAACUGAAACCCAAACAACUAGAAAAAACAAUUCUCAGCGUACUGUAAGAAAAGUUGAGAUUGGGUGGAUGCACUAUGAUGGGCAGGGCUUUGUUCAAAUGAGAGCAAAAAAAGGAGGGGGAACAAGGAAGUUGAGUGUGCCAAAAGACUGGAAAAGGGACGAACUGAUGGAGGAGGCAAUUCGUUUGUUUUUCCCAAAUGGAAAAAAUUCUCAUGGGAGUAUUUCUGAGUUUGAAUUGGAUCUAACAAAUUAUCAGGAAGUGUCACUAGAUAAAGAAAGUACAGUGGGGGAAAUGUAUAAUGCAUCCAAGCUCACAAUGAUGAGGUUCUACCUGACAACAAAAAAGGUGGAGAGGGAAGAGGAAACAGAAAGUGAAGUGGAAAUACCAGACACAAAGGAGGACUUGCACAUUAAUAACCAGGAUCAAAGUCUUCCUACUUUUAGCAGAAUGAAUGACUUCUUUCAAGCUUCAGACACGGAUGUAAUUUUUGUGGAAAGUCCGGGCAAUGAUGCUGUAUCUAUCCUGCAUUCCACCGAGGAUCUGAAUGUUGCAGAUGAUGAUCUGAAUGUUCCUUUUCAAAAUUCUUCAAUGACCUUACCAGAUUACUCAGAUACAAGCGAUGUAGUGACAGUAUUCACUGGUGACAUCACUGGGAUAGAUGGACAAAACUUAGAUGACACUUUGCCUCUGAGCCCAGAACCCAUUGUUCCACACAAAAAAAUUCUUGUUGUUCAUCGCGGACAGAUAUUUUCUGAACUCAUUGCACAUUUCUGUGAUGAAACCCUUCCACAUACACAGAGUGAAGUAGAAGUGAAGUUGCUCCUCCCAAAUGGACAGUUUGAGAUGGGCCAUGAUGUUGGUGGAGUGUUCAGGGAUUGCCUAUCAGAGUUUUGGCAGGAAUUCUAUGAUCAAUGCACGCUGGGGAACAAUUUUAAAGUUCCCUUUCUUCGACAUGAUUUUGGCAAAGAAAAGUGGGAAAGUGUAGCCCGGAUAAUUCUGUUCGGCUGGAAUAAAGAGAAAUAUCUCCCAAUAAAACUUGCACCUGCAAUCUUGCAGCAAGCAAUAAAAGGAUCUGUAAAAAGUGAUCUGAUUGAGAACUUUUUGAAAUAUGUCUCAGAAAAUGAGUGUGCUGUGUUAGAAAGCUGCAGAACAGACUUCUGUAAUGCAGAC
ensembl:lncRNA